rnacentral:lncRNA from 1 species
AUGUCUGGCUGGUGUCCCACGUCUGUGCUCAUCAUUCUGAGCGCAUGUCCCCUAUGCCCACUCCCAUUGCCUUGUGCUGAUCUCGUGCCCAGCACCCUGCAGGGCGCCCCUGCGCCCACACGGAUACCCAGGUCCCGGGCUUCUGCCCCGCCUUUCUGUGCCAACCCCCGCCUGCCGACCUCCGGAGCUGUGCCCGACCUCUGGGGGCCCACAUUGUUUCCCACUCCCCGUGCUUCCGGGCCAUGUCCUUUGUUUCGAUGCCCACCCCAUACCCAGCACCUUCGAGCUCAUUCCCCUGCGCCCGCGGCGCCCGCCACCGCACGGCCGCGCCCUCCCCGCUGGGACAGCAGCGCGGGCCGGGCAGUUGGCGGGCCGCACGCGCGCUCCAGCUCGUUGCGCUGCGCUCCGUGCAGGACAAGCGGGCCGCGCCAGUACACGCUGCCCUGGCACAGGCGCGUGGCGAACGGACCCUCGGGCGCCACCCACGGCAGCACCCCGCACUUCAGGUGCGGCCACAGGUGCCGUGGCAGGUGCGCACGGAACAGCGGCUGCCAAAGCGGACCUACGCAGCGCGUGGUGGCGGCCCCAGCGGACUCAGAAGGCAGCGCUCGGCGGAGCCGCAAGGGCAGCCAGCCAUCUGCGGGGCGAGGAAGGAGGGCGGCCACCUUGGCGAGGUUUCCCUUCCUCACCCCCUCCACCACGGGUCAGGCGACCCACAGGUCCUCCUCGCCCUCCCCAUCAGUGAUGGCAGUGACUCUUGUAGUAGCAAUAGUAGUAGUAGCAACAGCAGCAGCACUACAUAACAGCUUCCAACAUAAACCACCCGUGGUCCAGCGCGGUAACCACAAGCAGCCUCACCGGCCCUGGAGAGCACUCCCAAGGAUGCCUCCCAUACACGAAGCCCUCUGCCAAGGUGGGGCUCAGUCACGUCCCCGGGGCUGCUGGCUGGAUCAGGGAAGUGCCUUUUGUGUGAGGAGCAGCACAGACCCUGGGGACUGCUGACCCCCAGUAGGAGUGCCCCAGCUCCCUGUGUGACCUCAGGAAAGGCCACGGGUCAGUGAGCCUUAGCUUCCUGCUUUACAAAUGGUCUAAGGGCCCUGAAUUUAUCAGCCCGUGGAUUUAAGCUCAACGAGUCCACCAUUUCCUGUUGUAAGUAGACAAAGUGAGGUCCUUACUGCCCAGAGAGCCGCCCUCAGCUACUGCCUACAGGGGCGGGAUGGGACCUGGGCCACGGGCAGCGUCACACACAAUGUGGGAGGCCUUGUGGGGGCAGAGAUGCCCACUGGCUGCACUCGGGCGCCUCCGGAAGUCGGCACUCUUGAGAGCACCGAGGAGCCGAGUCUGCCUGGUGGAGGGUGCUGGUCAGGGCCCUCCAGGUACUUGCCCUGGUACACGGCCCAGGCCUGCACACGACAGGGGAGCUGGGGAGGGGGCUGGUGCCAUGCAGGGGGAGGACGGACUGCCUGUCUCCCACCCCUCUUUCUCUCCAUCUCCCCUCCCUCCCUGCUUUCCUCCUAUCCACCCGUCUCAUAGUCUUCAAUCUCCUUCUAUAUUCUAUGCCUUAGCUAACACUGAGGAUUGAAUGAGGAAUAAAACAGAUAUGGUCCCUGCUCUAAUGGGAAAA